rnacentral:sRNA from 1 species
GCCAGAUGUGGUGGGGCACACCUGUAAUCCCAGCCACUUGGGAGGCUGAGGCAGGGGGAUCGAGAGUUCAAACCCAGCCUCAGCAACUUAUAGAGGCCCUAAACAAUUCAGGAAGACCCUGUCUCUA